CGAGGCCUUCCUGCAGAGGGUUGACAAGGAGCCGGGUAGAUGAAAGGUUCCCAUGGGAAUGGGAGAAUGUGGCCCCAACAAUCUCUCUCAGAACCAUUCAUGGGCGAGAACAGAACCAAUGGUGCCGAGUUUCUAGCUGGUGGAUCUGCCCAGCUGAGCUGUGAACUAUCAGGUUAGUUCCAGAAAAAUCUCGCUAACUAGGAUCUAUGGAGUCGUGUAAGAUCUAAAGGAGUAAGAGCGUCUUUCGCUGUCAGUCAGACCGCAGUGCAGAUAUACAGAGUGAAGACUUUGGAAGAAGGGACUGUCGAGGCUUGAAGGAUACGACCAAGGGGGAGAAACCCAUGUUGGAGCCAUUUGAUGGGUUUUGCACGGUUCAUCAGAAACUGCUAUGCUUUAGCUGUGGUUUGAGAUCAAGGCUCCAAGAGUUGGAAGCUUGGUCCCCAUUUUACUAGCAUUGGGGAGCACUAAAACCUUUAAGAGGCGGGGUCGUUGUGGACAGUGUUCUCAGGAGGAAUUGAUGCAAUUCUCAUGAGACCAUAGAUCUCGUGGAUGAGUAAGAAGAGGAAGCCCAGCCCUCCCCGCACUCUGGCUUCCCCUCUCCUCAGGAUCAUGUCCUGCCCCUCAGCUAUGCCAAAUCCUGCUCAUUGUUAGAAGACACCUCAAGGCCUCCUCCUCAUCCCUGAACUCUUUCUUGAUCAUUCGGAUCUGGAUGGGAGCUCACUGUGUCUGGAGACCUAUUAGCUUAUAGCGGGCACUUGUAAAUGCUUCGGUUGGGUGGUGCUAACGCAGACAUCAAGUGUCCAGGGUGGACUGGAAGCGGAGCAAGAAGAAGGAAGCAUCAGAGUCUCCUUCAACAGCAGGAAACCGGCAGGCAUCGGAGCCCAGAACCCAAGAGCACAAGACACCAUGGCCCUAGUGACACUGUAGCCUCUCUGGGAGGCAGAACAGUGGACAUUUCGGACACACGGUUUACUGCUGCUUGCAGUUGCUUAGGGAUUUAUUACUUCUGUGACCCUGGGCUAGCCACUCUAGCCUCAGCUUUCUCACCUUCAGACUUGGAUACUAAGAAUCUUAGAGAGUUGUGAUAUUACAUGAGCUCAUUGAUGCAAAAACACAUCAAUGCUAAGAAUGUGUGGCCACUUCAAUAAAUGCCAUCAGAUCCUCUUUAUGAAAAAGGGGUGUGUGAUCAAAGGAAUCCUGCUACAUAGGAUAUCCCUCUUCGUAGAGACUGACGAAGUGCAUAGCAUAGUAAAAGCCCUGUAAAGACUUAAGUAAAAUUACUAAUAGAUGUUAUAUCAUAUAUGAUUAAUAAUCACACACACAGGGUUGGAGAGGUAACUUAGCAGUUAAGAGCUCCGACUGCUCAUCCAGAGGUCCUGAGUUCAAUUCCCAGCAACCACAUGGUGGCUCACAACCAUCUGUAAUGGGAUCUAUGCCCUCUUCUAGUGUGUCUGAAGACAGUUACAGUGUACUCAUAUACAUAAAAUAAAUAAGUAAAUCUUAAAAAAAAAUCACACACACACAUGCACACACAUGCAUGCAUAUAUUUACCAAGUUGGCUCUUUCCCUCUUUUUACAUGUAACAUUUAUUCCUUCUACUUUGUUGUUGUUUCUGAGACAGGGUGUUACUACGUAACCCUGACUGGUCCUCACACUGUUGCUUAGGGUAGCCUUAAACUCACAGCAGCACCUCCCACCUCGGCCUAUCAAAUGCUGACUUGUAAGGUUUAUUUAACAUACUUUUGGAAAUGUGCUGUUAAUUGUAUUUAAUGAGCAGAGGAAAGGCUAAUUAAAUUGUUUAAAGCUAUCAUGGUUUAGGCUUCAUUUCCCACAGUCUCCUUAGUUACAGGAGGAGCAGAAUGGUUUGAAAGCCCCAAGGGAUGGCCAAUGUCAGGCAAAGGGAGCAGAUCAGUGAGGAGCUGUUCUUGGCCACAGAGACGUUUCUAGAACUAUAGAUGCUUGGAGUCCAUCCUGUUAGAUUCCAGCAGCUUUAAUGACUAAAUCCCACCUUCCUGGGUCCCAACCCCCUGGACAUAGACUCAGCCUCCCAGGUUUUUAGAGUAACCCUAAUAUUCAGGAAACUCUCCCACAACACUGGAAGGAACCCACCACCUUAACUAUGUCCGUAUCCAUGUCCACAGAACUUGGAAGUUUUGCGUGUCAGUGAACACUUUCUAUUUUGGAGAUGGAAAGAAAAGAAACCUUCAGACUCCUUUCUUAAUCUUUCCACAGCAUGCAUGUCUGUCAACUGAGCAGUAAACUGGAAACAAUUUUAGGAAGGCAUAGUUUUCGAUUUUUUUUCCAUUUGUAACUAGGGCAAUAGAGCGGAUUUUCAGUUAUAGCAGAAGGUAUUCAUGUCCUAUACCCUGGAAGGAAGGGAUCUGCCUCUUGUUGUGUAGAGACAGUUGUCGGGUAGGUUGGGCUGGCCUGGACCUCGCUGUCAGACCAGGUCGCUCUCUGACCUAACGGUCCUUCCUCUCCUGGUACGACAGGCACACACAACAGCUGUACUUAAGUCUCAUCUCAAAGUUACUUUUGUUUUCUUGUAUUACUCUUUUAAUUUAAAAGACGGACACAAAAAUCCACAGUCCAAACACCCUUUUAGCUUCUUUACUUAAGUGACAAGUAUUUUUAUUUAUAUAAAUAUGUAAUUAAAAUAUGCGCCCAUACCGUAUGUGCAGUUUCCUGAACAAAAGUCAGUAAUAAGAGCAGGUGAUGUUACCUAUAUGGUAAUGAAGUAGCUUAAUCCGAUGUGGAGUUUCCCAAGAUUCCUUAAAGCUUUAAGGAAAACCCUCAAGAAGUAAAUGGAAUGCAGAAGUUAAAUGGGAGGCGGGGCACGUGUAAGUGUCCAAAUCAAUUUAACAGGACACAGGGACUGGGCAAACCUACGACCUAUUACAGAACGGAAGUGUGCUUUCAGAGGGCUAGCUGUCCAAAGGUGGACUCUUUAGACUGAUGUCUUUCCCCACAGAUUAAGUCUUGGAUCCAUAUCAGUAGUUUUAUCCUUCAUUCUGCUAUGAGGUAAAAAAGAUCCACAAUUAUGUUUUGCAACACGAGAGACUGAAGUGACAUGACUGGACCACAUCAACUUCAUGGCCAUGCCCACACUGCAGCAGACAGUCACCUAACUGUCUGCUACGCUUUCCUUCCUUCUAAGGCCUUUCCUUCCUCAGAGUUUUAUUAUUCCAAAGAAGAACAAUCAAAAUUGACCAUUUUCUUAUGUGAUAAAACCAGUGGAAAACAAACGUAGGCCUGUCGAGGCGGAGUUAAUGGUGGCCGUACAUGACCGCUGCUGUGGACGCCGUGCGGCUCAGCUAGCGUGUGCCGCCUGGGUGGGGGUUCUGCAACACAAAUGGUUAUCUACUGUUUUCUUAUCGUCACACACUCUAAAAAACAUUUUUAUCUUUGGCGUGUGUCAGGCACCAGCGUUCAAUAGGAGGCUGAAUAAAACCCUGGUCCCCAAAUUCACGGGCCAGCGCAGUAAGAAACAAGUGUAGCGAAGGUCUCCAAAGGUGUUCUUUGUUGAGUCUGGGAGAGAGGCUAUCGAGCACAGCAGGGCUGAAGACAUCAUUCCCAUGGUUGGGAUGCUUUCCAAGGGCACUGCCAGCGCUCAGCUGACAAAGGCCACACCCCUAACCCUCCAUUCCCUUAGUUUAAAGAUUAUUGAUCAGAUUUCUAGGGCCUGUGCCCUAGGAAGGGAGAAAUAAGUGGGGAGGGGAAGAAGGGAGGGAGAGAUGGAUAGAGACAGAGACUGAGAGAGACAGAGAGAGACAGAAUAAGACAUGGAGAGAUAGACACAGAGAAAGACAGGAAGAGGGAAAGAGACAGAGACAGAGAAUGAAAUAGAGGCAGAGAGAAAGGGAGAAGCAGGCAGUUAAAAGACAGAGGAGUGGGGGAGAGAGAGACAGAAAGACAGAGGAGGGGAGCAAAAAGGAAAAGGAUGGAGGUGGGAGGACAGAUGGAGAGGAGAAGUAAAAGUUAAAAUGCCUGCCACAGAGAACACAUUCCCAAAGCAGCUAGAAGCUUCCUGGGGUGUGACGGGUGGCUUUGCUGAGCCCGAGAAAUCUGUAUUCUUGUGUCGGGUGUAAGCUCUAGACUAUGGUAUCUUUUCUUUGCCAAGUAAUGGACCAUGGGAACUUGGGUAUUCAAUCAAAGGAACCCUGUGGAUCCCAGCCAGUAAAGCACUGCCCUCCGCCGCCACCAGUGAGGGCAAACAAAACACAGGCUCAAUCCCCAAGGUGACUUCCCCACCCGGCACACCAGGUGCCACCCUCAUGCCCAGGUGGGACACCUCUGUGAUGCUGCCCCUGCCCUCCAAACCCAAAACCCGACCCUCCGGGUGUUUCUUUCCUUACUCUGGGCCUCUGCCAGAGACAUGCAAGGAAAGGGUGAGCUAUUACCUCAGAUCAUUCUCCAGGGAUUCCUCGUCUGAAGAGAAGGUCCCAUUGCUGGCACUCUGGGGAGAGUGACUCUGUCUCCCAGCCGAUUCCUCCUGAGACAACAGAGUGCCUUUCUUUUUCUUUUUGCCAAACAACUUCUUAAAAGGCUGGAAUUUGCCUCCCCUCUUCUUGUCUGUGAAUUACAAGAUAAACAUACAGCUGUAGUUUGAUAGGGCCGUGCCUCUGACUAGGAACAAAUUACCACUUCUGGCCGAGAGAGCCGGGGCAAAGGGCAGCCGGAGAGCCUGCUGCUGAGAAUGGCAGGGCCGCCCUGGCCUCAAGGUGCACAGUGAGGCAGGGCACAAGCCACAGGCAUGAUGCACCUUCUGACCAUCAGGCUUCUCGAAGAUCAAGAGGAGGUUCCGACUCCCAAGGCCAGGAGGGCAGCCCCCACACACACACGUGCCACAUGAGGGUGAUGUCUCCUCCCUCUGACAAAACUGAUAGUCAGGGUCAUCUGGGAGAAGCUGUGAAAAGGCAUUCGAGCCAUACAGGGCCUUUCAGAAGUAUACGACACAAACCUCCAAUCAUUCUGUGACAUAAACCUUGUCACAUAUGGAGGAUAAUGGUUAACUCUUGGCACAAACUUUGCCUCAUUGCCACCCACGGCCAGAUAGCCCUCGAUUAGUCCCCAAAUCUCCUUUAAAGUUUUCCAGGGAAGAGAGCCCAAGUAGUUGCUUUGAGCCAGUGUGUUUUAUGACUUGGGACCAGGGCUUGCUACAAACUUUGCUGAAGGUAUUGUUGGUAGCACCUUCCACUCUGCUCCUUUGGAUACAAAUCCCUUCGCUUCACCGCAGCUCUACUAUGGAACAGAGUGUAAACCAGGGAAGUAACCAUCUAUCAUCUUUCCCUGAGAAGCCGUCUUUAAAACUGCUUCACCCUCACUAAAGAUCGGUCCCUCUGUUGACUCUGUGAUGUUACUGAAUGUUAUUAAUGUCCCUGUAGUGGACUUUGCCCAUGGGAAGUGGCACCAUCAGGAGGUGGCCUUGUUGGAAUAAAUGUGGCCUUGGAGGAAUCGUGUCACCGUGUAGGUUGGCUUUGAGGUCUUCUAGUGCUCAAGCUCUGCCCAGUGCAGAGCACAGCCUCCUCCUGGCUGCCUGCAGAUCGAGAUGUACAAGUCUGGGCUCCUUCUCCAGCCACCACAUCUGCCUGCCUGCUGCCCACCACGAUGAUAAGGACUGAACCUCUGAAACUGUGAGCCAGCCCCAAGUAAAUGAUGUCAUUUCCCAAAUUUACGCUGUACUUCUGAUCCGAAAUAUCUUUAUAAGUUUAGAAGUUCAUCUUACGCUUAUUCGACUACUAAAUUCGUUAGCCUUCUUUCGAAAAGAAGGUUCAUCCUACGUUGAGACAGUAAAACACGAAGUGACCUUAAUAGAUAUGAAUCCUUUUUAAAAGUUAUUUCUUUUAUUUUUGAGAUUAAAAUGUAAUUGUAUCAUGUUCCCCUACUCGUCCCUCUUCCCUACAAGCCCCCCCACUCCUUGCUCCCUUUCAAACGGAGCCUCACUUUUAUUAAUUCUUAUUACACAUGUAACAUAUAGAAAUGGAUAUAUACGUAAGUAUAGCCUGCUUAGUCCGCAUGUUUACCUGUAUGUGUGUUUUCAGGGGAAUCGUUUGCUGUUGGAUAUCUCCUCCCUGGGGAAGGCCGUUUCUCCCUCUCAGUGCUCCUUGGUUGCCUAGAGUUCUUCGCGUAGGGUGCAAGGGGCCUCGUGGACCAACCACGUGAGUGCGUCUUUUGCUGUUGUCCUUGUUUGACUCAUGGUUAGUUAUGACGGUGACGGUGAGACUUUAUGGGUGUAGAGUAUAAACUCUUUAGAUCAUAGCAAGAGUUAUAAAUCCUUAUUUGACUCCCCCCAAUUUAUAUUCUCAAAUAUAAAACCUCCUAUCCCCCCAAAAAGCUAGUUAUAACAGUUGCAAUUCCCUGCCUUAGGGACUGUCCCUGUAAACCUGGACAUGGGUUUAUAAACACGCAUUAAAUAAACCUAGCACUAAGACUGAACCCCCAGUGAACGUGAUUGUUGGGGGCAGGACGGCAAUGGGGGGAGGAUGAGGAGGGGAACACCCAUAAAGAAGGGGAGAGGGAGGGGUUAGGGGGAUGUUGGCCUGGAAACCGGGAAAGGGAAUAACAUUCGAAAUGUAAAUAAGAAAUACUCAAGUUAAUAAAAAAAAUACCCAAGUUAAUAAAGAUUAAAAAAACAAAACAAAACAAAAAACCCCUAGCACUUCGAGGAACACUGGAAGUCCGCUCCAUAGACUCCGUUGGCUUAGGGGCCUGACAAAUAGCAAUGCUAUUGCUAAUGUUUUUUGAGGCAAAGAUGGGGCACCAAUCAGUUGGGCAGUUUCACGACUGUGGCAAAACCCAGCACGCCUACACCCACGUCAACCCCUCAAAGCGACCGUGAGCGCCCUGCCGCACAGAGCAGAGCAACAAGCACAGACGUCCUUCAUGACAUCUGAGAACUUUACCACACAGACUUCACCCAUCUUGGGUAGAGGGAAGAGAAUGGUAAUUACUAGUAACUUGGUGUAUUCACUGGCUACAGGCACAGCUAGUGAUUAAAUGUCUGGGCCCCAAAGACAGGAGUGUUUGGUUCAAAUCCUAGUCCUGUCCUUUACCAGCAUCUACCUCCCACCCUCCAGACACUCAUGCUCUUUGCUUAAGACUGAACUCAUGGGUGAGCAGCCGGGUGCCACAGUUUCUUAAUAUUCCAUCGGUUUUUCACCUGGAAGACCCUAUAAGAUGCAUAUGUGCUGCUUUAAGAUCACAGUGAUUUUCACUCUCAAAGCACUGAAUUAAAUUUUAUUAAUUAACUUGUUUAUUAUUAAAAUUUAUUUUUGUUGUCUAAUCAUAACCUAAGGGCUUUUUUCCUAUUUAAAGAAGCACCCAUUAUCCACAGUUUCAUGGGCAUCAUCAUAUACCAUCAGAGGCUUACGUAUCAUAAACACUAGUUUAUCUAGAUAAUCCUAAAAAAUUAAAAAUCACCUGCAAGGUCAAACAAAUAGGAUUCCUUUCCCAUUUUUUCAAAUGGAUAAAAUUCUUAUGUGUUUGUUUCUACAUUUCUUCUUUUUUUUUUUUUUUUGGAGCUGUAACCCCAUGUGUUUGUUUCUAAUCUUAGAAUUAUUAAAGCACCUAACUUUCUGCGUUCCAGGGUGUGCCACCAACUCAGAAACGGGUGGUAGCAUUCAGUUUAAGCAUCGCCAUAAACUUGUUGAUCUGAGGUUCUCAGAAGUUGACUCCGGGUUCCUAAGGUCAUAACAUUGGAGAUUCCAGGUAAAAUAAAGACGAAGUGCACAUCUUCGCGAAGCAGCUUGCUGAGUCCCUAAUGUGCUAUUACCACCGCUCUCCACAGAGCAGAGAACACGCAGCUCUUAUUUGGAGGCUCAUCUUGAAGUCUGGUUGGGUUAAAGAAAUGUGACUUUUUCUUCCUCAUGCUCCUCCUCCUCUUCAAGCCCCUCCUCUCCUGCCACAUCUCCAUGCCCCUCCCCUCAUGCUCCUCUUCAAGCCCCUCCUCCUCGGGCUCCUCCAAUUUUUCUAGGAGAUUUACUGUGUAACCCAGGUUGGCCUCAAGCCUGGUUACAAUCCUGCCUGUGCCUCCCAAGUGUUAGGAUUAUAGGCACUGCUAACUGUGGGCUUCUCUGAACUCAAUUUGAUAGUCUUCAUCAAUCUUCCUCCCCCACUUUCUACUGCCUCCUAUACCCCUCCUGACCAUUUGCAUGUUAGGCAAAUACUUUACCACUGAGCUACAUGUAGACUUCAUUAUGUCUUUUAGUUUCUCUAAGUACUCUUGUAACACACACACACACACACACACACACACACACACACACACACACAGUGCCUUCUUUCCUCUAAACUCCAGGGCAUACUCCUCUGUAAACAUGAGCGUUAACCGAAACAUUUGGGACUUCACUAGUUAAAUAAACUUAAUAUUUUAUGCAAACUUCUGCAAACACUGUCAUUUAAGCAGAUACGUGAAGAUAAGGUAUACAGCAAUGGUCUGGAUCCCAAGAUUCUACCAAUUGAAGGAAUUUUCUUACCCUGGGGCCAUCUGCACACUCUUUUGAGAAGCAGCUCCCACGUUUAAAAAGAUCACAGAACACGUCCUGUAGCACACAGGGACUCCAUGGACACCACAUUUAUACCAGACCCCACAGUCCUGGGAUAUUUUAGUCACGACUAAGGGGCUGGCAGCAUGUCACCUGGGCUCCACAUCACAGGACCAUGAGAUGGGAAAACAGGGACACAUACUGUGCCCCCGGGGAGUGGCAGGCUGAUAAUCCAGCUGCUUGUCAAGUCACAAGAGGAAAGAGAAGCAUCUUCUCAUUUUCCAGGGGAAGCAGAGUAGGAAGAAGGCAUUUGCUACCAUGUUGAAAAGACAGUAUGGGGACCCCUUUGGAACAUGGCAGGGGUCCCCAGAGCCAAUGAGAGGCCAGAGAUAACAGAGAGUGCCCUCGAUUCUCUCUGCACCCGCAGCAUCCGACAUACUGCCUGAGGCUCUAGGGUGGUCCAGAUCAUCUGUUCUUUGCCGGGCACAGAGAGGUAUGUUUAGAUGCUUGUGAGGAUCGGGACAGCAUUGGCUAAACAACAACGAUGCUUUUGGAAGUCAUCAACAUUCAUGCACCCGCGCCAGCCUUACAAGGGCCUCUGGGACACUGGCAGCCCAGAUAACGGAGAGGGUCGCUCUAUGCUCUUCAUCGGUCCAGCAAUCUCACCUGCUUUGAAAAAUGUAAGUUUGCUCCACCUUGAUUGACGGAUGCUAUCUCACCCAUAAGGCAUACUAGGUGAGCGCAGAAAAGUGCACCUGGCUGAACGAGGCGUGCCGAGCUAAGAAGAAGUGUGCACAGAUGAUCCCCAAACAUCUAGUACUACAGGCCUUUGUGGGAAGAGACAGACGAAUUGUGCAGGUUCCCAUCCAAUUUCAGCCAACCCUUCUACUAUGUUACUGCAGGCUUCCCAAAGCUGGAGGUUUCAGGCAAAUGUCCUCAAGCAAAUACGUCAUCGUGUCAGUACUUCAUCAGUGUCGGAUUUAAUAUAUAUGCAUGUAUAUACAUAUUCAUACAUGUAUACCAUUCGAAUGUAUGUAUGUGUGUGUGUGUAUGUAUGUAUGUAUGUAUGUAUGUAUGUAUGUAUGUAUGUCACUCUAGAGGGCCUCACUAUAAAUCCCUGGCUGUCCUGAAACUCAUUAGUUUUGUAGAUCGGGCUGGCCUUGAACUCACAAAGAUCUGCCUGUCUCUGCCUCUCAAGUGCUGGGUUUGUGCCACCAUACCUGGCUUUGUUAAGGUAUCUCAGUAUUUCUUAAUCACUUAUUUGUAUCUGUACAAUUGUGCUACAUUUUAAAAUUAGGCUCCUAUUAAAAUUAGGGUUAGUGUUUACGCCUUAACUCUUAGCACCAAGCCUGGGAUAGUAUUUUAAAAUUCACACAAUAUUUUGGGAAAACACCAAAUUUCACUUUCAGAGAACUAGGAAGUUGUCGUUGACCUUGAUUAAUUGUGUGUGUGUGUGUGUGUGUGUGUGUGUGUGUGUGUGUGUUGUGUGGUUUUUCAAGUCAGGGUCUCACACAGUAACCUGCCUCAAGCUCCUAAGCGCUGGGAUUGAGUGACAGACUUUUGCUUACUACAAUGAGUUUGUUUUAGUAACAUGUAUCAAUUUAGAACAACUCUAUGUUUAACAUCAUCUUGUGAAAUGCCUUGUGCUUACCCAGGUCUAAGCACAGACCUCCUUGACCACAAUAGCAACUGUUUCAGUUUUUUUGUUUUGCUUAUUCCUCAAAUCCAGGAUUUUAAUAUUUCUAGUACUUUCUGUUGGUUUGUCAGAGUGCCCUUUAACAUGUGCUUCAAUAUUCACAAGGGAAUCAAAUAUUUAGAAAAAGCAACGGAGGCAGCAACAAUUUCUAACGUGAAGUCUCGGUGUUUGGAUACCUCUCUCCCACAUCAUGUUAGGUGCGUGGGCCCUGGCUUCUCUCACUGCCAGUUUCUGCUGUUGGGAGUUUCAGAAGGCGUGAGCCAGUGUGGGAUCCACUGUGAACUGAGACUAACUGUGGAGAAGCUCACUGCCACCUCUACUGAGGGGCGGGACACACGAAAUGCCGUGAUAUACAAGGGCAGACCACAUGAAUGGCACAGUGCACAGGACACAUGAAUUUCACGGUACACAAGGGCGGGACACACGGAUGUCCUGGGUCACAAGGGCAGGGCACAAAAAUGUCAUGAUACACUAUGGCAGACCACAUGAAUCCCAUGGUAUACAAGGCCAGAACAUGAGAAUGCCAUGCACACAAAACAAUUGUAGGAUCUGUUCUGGUCCAGCGGGUCAAAUUGAUGGAUAAGACAGAAUCUGAAAGGACGGGCUUCAAUCAAAGAAUAAAACCAGUAGGCAAAUGUCUGGAUAUGAUGUGUGAAAAGAAAAGACCUUUGACUAAGAAGGUCUGAAAUCAUCCGGGAGGAUGCAAUUCACAGGCAUGGGCUGAAGCCGCUGCCCACAGCUCAGUGAAACAGUAUCAAGUCACCGGGGAUUAUAGAUUGGCCAAGUUGACACAACAAAGUGAUCAUCAGGCUCCACCUCCUUCCAAUUUGGCAUCCAUAUUCCCAUCCUAAAAUACAGCUGAAUCUCAAAAUAGAGGCAGUAUGUAUGCUGAUGUAUGAUAGCCGACACACAUCUGAGACCAUUUUAUCCCACCCCCACCCCAGACAUGCCAUGCCCUUGAGUGUUCUAAUGUCUCCUUUAAUACCCUGUAACUUCAAUUCCAGCUUCCACUUCACCACCACCACCACCACCACCACCAUCAUCACCAUCAUUAUCAUCAUCUCUUAUGUUAGGUCAUAAAAGGAUGAGAAGAUGGGGUAGCUGGUGUACACCUGAAAUACCAGCUAUUCAGAAAGCUGAAGCAAAAGUAUCACAAAUUUAAGGCCAGCCCCGAGAAAUGUAGCUAGAUCUUGUCUUCCAGUCAAAAGCUAAAAGGCGGCUAGGAAUGGGUCAGUAAGACGGCUCACUGGGUAAAGGUGCCUGUCAUCAAGUCCUGAGGUCGAUCUCCGGGACCCACAUGGUGGAAGGAGAGAACUGACUCCUGUAAGGUGUCCUCUGACCUCCACAUGUGUGCACCCACCCUACUGACAGACUUCUAUUAAAGGGCUGCAGCUCACAAGGCCCUGAAUUUACAGUACUGCAAAACGGAAGGCAGGGGCUGGGGAGGGAGCGCAGGUGCUGAAGUGCUGUGGUGAUCCAAGUUCAACGCCCAGCUCUUAACCCUAACCGAGCAACAGUGACGCAAGCUUGUAAUCCCAGAGCUGUGUAGGUGGAGGCAGGAGGAUUCCUGAAGCUAAUGGCCAACCGCUGUAGCCUAGUUAACAAGGCCCAGGUGCAGGUGACAGACCCUGUCUCAAAAGCAAGAUGGAAGGCUCCUUAGUAAUAACAUGUGAAGUAGGCAUCUGGCCCGUCACCUACAUGCACACACACAAGCACGUUGCCUGUGGUGGUUUGUAGAGGAAUGGCCCCCACAGACUCAGAGUUAAAUGCUUGGUCAUUAUGGAGUGGUGCUAUUAGGAGGAAGUGUGUCACUGGGGUGGACUUUGAGGUUUAGAAUGCUCAAGCCAGACCCAAUCUCUCUCUCUCUCUCUCUCUCUCUCUCUCUCUCUCUCUCUCUCUCUCUCUCUCUCCUCUCUCUCUCUCUCUCCUCUCUCUCCUCUCUCUCCCUGCUGCCUGCCUGCAGAUCUAGAUGUAGAACUCUUGGCUCCUUCUCCGGCACCAUGUCUGCCUGGACACUACCACACGUCCCACCAUGAUGAUAAUGGACUAAACCUCUGACCCUGUCAGCCAGCCCCAGUUAAAUGUUUUUCUUUCUGAGAGUUGCUGUAGUCAUGGUGUCUCUUCCCAGCAAUGGAAAACCUAAAACACCUCCUCCCAGCCCCCGGGUGUAUGCUCACACAUACUAGAGCUAACACUCCCUCUGCCUUUGGCUGGGGCCUCAGUCGGUUGUGGUGCUCUGCAGGCUGGGAAGAUCCACUCCUGCAUUCCUCACAAACCACUGGUCAUCUUAAACUGGGUGGCCUUGGUUUCGUGUUGCCUUUCAUUACAAUACUAGGCGUACAGAAGAGGUUGUCCUGAAGGAGCGCCCUCCAUUUUGGAAGAACUCUUCUUAUCCCACCAUUUACAGGCAGCCCAGCUUCCCCCCUGCUCCCCUAGAAAUCACUAUAGUAACCUCUUCUCUGCCUGUUGACUGAGAGGCACCAGAAGCCCAGUGUGGCUGGAAGACACAGCCUCAACUUGAAUAGAGGGAUUCUGUGUUCAAGGUUCCUAGCGGAGGCGUUUAUCUUUUUGAAACCGAGCGAGACUUCUAGUGGAGCCAGUUCUAAAGACCAGAAACAAAGGUCUGCGUCAGACGGUAGCAACGGUAACUAACGGCUUUUUUGGUGAAAGGUUUUUGCUCUUCGACUGACCUGCACCGAGGAUUCAGAGAGUAUCUACCUAUUCUGCAGACAUUUUCCAAGUGAUCUGUGCAUCAGAAACUGGUGGGAUAAGACAGCCCCAAGCCUGAGAUCCAAGAGAUUGAUGAUCUCAAUUUCUACCCAAGAAACCUCGUAGACUCGUGGCCACUGGUCUGUGUGAGGAAAAGGAGAAAAACUCCAGGCUGCCCGGGUUCUGUUAGGAAGCACUUUUGAAAUGUCAUCUAUGCUGGCUGUGUUCCUCCAAAAUUCUUAUAUUUCCUAUUUUUCUCUUCUUCCCACUGCCCAAGCCCCUUCCCCCAGGAACGACUACAAGAAUUCCCAAGGACCACAGCAAACGGAAGUUCUCUUUUGGAUGUCAUGCACCCCAAUUUUGUUACCUACGUCUGACUGGAGAUUGGGGGGUUCGUUCUGUGCUUUCUGUUUUGUUUCUGUUUUUCUCUUUACUGAGUCUGAGAGUAAAGCAGGAACUACAUUUUGUUUACCUUUUCUUAGCAACAAGAAGGAAUCUUUAUUUCAAGUUGAAGAGACACAGGAAAAGAGCCUGCUGCGUCUUGGGAUCUAGGGCAAGCCUACUUUGCAGUUUCUGAGGACUUUAGUUUCUCCUGCCAAUGUUCUGCAGAUGUUCAGUGAGGUUGUUCUGAGCUGCCAUGUGGGUGCUGGGAUCCUCUGGAAGAGCAGCCAGUGCUGAGCCAUCUCUCCAGCCUCUAGAAGCAUUUUCUUUAGAAAGUUAAGUAAGCUCAGAUUAUGUCCGGCCUCCCAUACCAUCACCUUAUACAAUAUCAAUCAUAUUCACAUGCUUUUCUCCCCCUGCUUUGUCACUGGAUUAUGCUGGCUUUUGUAACCAUGUGCGUUUUCAGCAAAAUACGUGACCUUUGGCACCUGGGAGAGGCAACAGCGGAAUCUGCAAACUGGCAGAGAGGCUGAGUCAUUUAAUAUUACUCCUUUGUGUCGGUAUCCAGGACCUUACUCUAGGAAGGGAAACUGCUGAUUUUCAAGAAGAGAGUCACAGUCUUAGAACUCAAGUGUCUGUCCCUGUCAUCCCGCUGCUACACUUGGACCCGAUGCAGUGAGGCUGACCAUAGCUAACUUCAAAAUCUGGGCAAAGAUGUGGACCUGCUGAUGGUUAACCUUCAACGUCAACUUUUCGGGCUUUAGAUUUGACUAGGGAAGCACAUGUCUGUGUGCACCUGUGGGAGUAUUCCCAGAAGUACUAGAAGGAGACCCAUCCUGAAUAUGGGAAGCAGCACACACAGGCUGGGGGCCUACAGUGAAGAAAAAAGGGGGAAAAAAGGAGAAAGUGAACUGAGUACCAGUCCUCACUUCUGUCUGCUUCCUGCCUGGAGCUGCAGUGUGGUCAGCUGCCUCCCAUGGCUGCUCCAACAACUCCCACAAUGAUGGACUGUACCUUCCAACUGAGACACAAUGACCCCUCUCUCUGAUACUGCUUUUGUAUCAUGUUGCUGUAAUGAUAAAAUAAACUAAAAUACCUGCUUCCAAACACACAGUAAGACGGCAGGGCUUGAAGUAACCACUUAGGGUUGUGUUUAGCCUUUAGGGGCAAAGUCUGAUGGGCCAUAAACAUACUCGUGUUUAUGGUCCGGUGAUACAGAGGUGGCUUUAGUUGCUGCCAAUUCUGCUUCAGGAUGUCCAAGUUGUGCAACCCCUGCCUUUGAUCUCCUGCUUUCUUUUACUGUCUUGCAUAUUCAGGAAUACGCACUCAACCUGGCUUCUGCUCGCCUCCGACUCCUACGGUUUCCCAUCUUGCAGAGCAGACUCCGCCCACUGAUAUAGAGGACAAGUCAGAGCUGCCCUUGCAAGAGCUCGGUUUUCCAGCGUUUUCAAGGCUGAGUUGAUUAGCUCCUGCCCAGGUGUAUUUCCUGUGGCAACGGUACAAUGCCCUGAGUCAGCACUACCGCCCUGGAGGAAUUUCAGAGCCAGCCAGCCUUCAACACCUUAGGAGGUGACUGUGCUGCUUUCCCAAACCCACAAAGUACUCAAGAUUCCGGUCUUUCUUGAGAGAUAACUGGAGCUUUGUGGGGAUAGGGGGAGAAUUCCCACGAGCGGCUGACGAGCGCUUUCUCUCCACUCAAAAGUCCUGAGUAUUGGUGGCUGUGAGGAUGACCAAAGGAGGUCUUGUGGUUGUUGUUGUUAUUGUUGAUGGUGGUGGUGGUGGGAAGUGUGUGUGUGUGUGUUAGAGUAAACUGAGAGCAUGUGAAGCCCGGGGGAGAGGGGUGGAUUUUUAGACUAAGGCGAACUGAGGGGACUUGGCCAUCUAUCUAAUGGGUUAAGACCAACAUCCUCUUUAAAAUAAGUAGAAGAAAAAGUAGGGGGGAAGUUACUUAAUGAUACUUUGGUUCUCAGUUCACAUGUGUGUGUACACAGCUACACACACACACACACACACACUCACACACACUCACACAUUCAGAUAGAGACUUAUUUCCUGCUAGGAUAAAUUAAACCAUAUUUGUAAAACAUUAAGAAAAAUGACCACAGAGCUCAUUAAGACACCAGGGUCAGAAACCGUUGCAACAGCCAUGCUUCUAAGCGAAGACGAGAAGGCGCUGUGAGCAGAAAUGGGCUGAGAGCCACCAGAGUGAUUAAAUGGGAUGUCUGGUGCCACCAAACCCAGAGCUGACGCUCGAUUCUGACUCUGAGCAUCUCGUUUAAUUAAGGACCCAAAGCUUCCAUUUCUUAAUUACAGAAAGGAGAAAGCUUUAUUAAACUUGGAUCCUAGUAGAUGCUUAGCUUGGCUGGGGCUCGACUCGUAAACUCUGAUCAGGAGUGUGACGCUAAGAAAGUAUGGCGUUCACUUUCUGUGCCUGUUUUACCAUUAAUAUAAAAUUCCCAUCCGGGUUAAAAGAGAUGUGGUUUGUGUGUUUGCUUGUGAACGUGCUGGAGAUGGAGUCUAAAGUCUCACACACACUGGGCAAACACUGCUGUACGCUGUACUCCCUGAUGUACUCCUAACCCUCGUGGUGUGGUGUGUGUGUGUGUGUGUGUGUGUGUGUGUGUGUGUAUAUAUGUAUAUAUAUACAUAUAUAUAUAUAUAGCGCACUUUUCAAAUGAUGCUGUCUGGAAGUUGAGACAGUCAAUGAAGCUUCUAGCCACUUUUAUUCUAUGCUCAGGAAACGAAGCUGAAUGUGGUGGUGCCAGGAGGGAGGAGAGCCUAGGAUUCUCUGUUCUGAGCCCCACACCCAGCCACCAGGCCACUCGGGCCCUCAUGCUGGAAGACUGAGACUCGGGACGGAUCCUCUACUCCUCUCUCCCAGUGUUUCAGAGGCUCUUGGUCUAGACCAAUAUCCAAAGUGUUCAUGCAGCAUCUGGUUAUUAGUAGAGAGAUGGAAAGAGACUAUUCUAGAACUGCUCAACGGAAACCCUGCUUUUGUUCCUGCAGACACCAGGCUGGAAAUCCAAGCUAAGCGAGGUGAGCCGCUUUGCAUGGCAUUGUCCAGAGAGUCAGUGGCGAGACAAGAUUUGAACCAGGCCUCCUUGUCCGGAAACCACUCUCCACUAUCCUGAGUCUCAGACCGGCCUCACAGCUCGCACCACAGAUGCAGGUGAGCGCUGGGGUUGGAACCUGCGUUGGAGGCUCCAGUUUUUCACUUCCUGGCCGUGAGACUUGGGGGCAAGUUCCGUACUAGUUUUAGCUUCUGUCCUCUUGUCCAAGACAAUGGGACCAAUCACACUAAGGACUUGUAAGUUAGACACCACGCUAUUAUUUACCAUAAUGCCUGACAGACACAAAGUCUCUCCAAACCAUUAGCCAUUGAAGUGCUGGUUAGGAUCAAGUCAAUUAAAGCAAUAGGUGGUUUUGUUUUGACCUGUGAGUGACAUUUCUCAAUUCUUAUAGAGCCAAGGAAGCAGAGAUAGAAGUGUGCAAGACACGUGAGGUGGACGGAAGGAGGAAUCCGGAGGAAUGUCAGGAAAUGUGUAGUGCAGAGAAACAUUAAGGAGAUUAAAUUAUUUUUGGAGCAAUGCAGACAUAAAUUGUUUUGUUAAUACCAUUAAGUCCAUUCUAGGUCAUAUCAGAUCUCACCAGCGUGGGAAAGUGUUUGGGGUUGAAAAGAAUAGUGUCUGCCAUGCAGAAGUGAUGGCACUUAUAUAGAAUAAAAGGAGGGAUCCAAGGACGGCAAGAAAGGGCUUUCCCCUUCUGCUGGACAGCUAGAACCAACUCUCCCCAGUAGACACUGAAUUCAGAAGGUGAGGCACAAAGGCCCCAGGGUGAAGGCCAGAUUUUUGUUCAGUGGCAUUAUUUGCUGACAAUGACCCUGGAGGCCCCUUCAAGGAUCAGGAAUCUGGUAGCCUUUGGAAGGUGACAGCCAAGGUUAGGUCCCUUAUGCUGAGUUAUGUUUAGCAUGCCGUAGGCACUAAGGCUUGGUGGCAUUGCACAUUUAAAAAGAUUUAUUCAUUUUUACUUGACCUGAAUGAGUGUUUUGUCUGCAUGUAUAUCUGUGUCCCACAGUGGCCAGAAGAUGGCAUCAGAUCCCCCUAGAACUAGAGAUAUAGAGGGCUGUUAACUGCCAUGCGGGUGCUGAGAAUCAAACUUGGGUCCUCUGCAAGAACAACAAGAGCUCUUAAGCACCGAGACACUCCUCCAUUUACACCUUACAGUUUAAAAAACAUAAAUGGUAUGACAGCCAGAGCUAUGUAGAGAAGCCCUGUCUCAAGAACUCAAAAAUAAAAAUAAUUUCUUGGGGUAUUCAGUUCAGUAAAAGGCUCUUGGUCAGCAUGCACGAGGCUCCAGGUUCCAUCCCCAGCACUGCAUAAAUCAAAAAAUUAAUAAAAUUAAAACCCAUGUUCACCUAAUAGGCUGCCCUUUGUCUUCCUGCACCCAUCAUGUACCCUACUGAAGUAUGACAGGAGUUAGGCAAGUGAGGCCGUUCACAACAUCUAGUUCAUGACAUCCAGCUCACGACAUCCAGUUCACGACAUCCAGUUCAUGACAUCUCUAGUUCACGACAUCUAACUGAAUUGUAUCCAACCCGCCUGAGUUAUUUUGAGAAUAUUUUAUAUUAACUUGAAACGAGAAGGUUAUCUGGGGGAAAGUUGCACUGGCUGUCCUCAGGGCUCCUGCCUAUGCAGUGGGAAGCAGAUGCUGUUCUCGUUUGUCUGAAAGAAGAGCCUGCGUCGAGUAAGAAUUCUCCAGUGGGAUCCCAUCCCCCAUCCCUGGAAACAUUGGGUGCUACUUUGAUGCCUCCUCCUGUUCCUCAGAUGACCCACGCAAAAACCGCACCACACUUAUCUGUCACGGAAAACACCACGUUCAGAAUCCUCAGUCUCUGGAGCACUGUGUGUGUCACCCAUGCUAACGCUGAGCCAGAUAUUGUGUGUGUGUGUGUGUGUGUGUGUGUGUGUGUGUGUGUGUGUGUGUACAUAGCUUAGUGCUGCCCUCAACCAGAGAAGAUUCUCUUCAGUGCUCAGUAGUUAUGCAGAGAUUCCCUAAAGAUUUAUUUUUAUGUAUAUGAGUACACCGUAGCUGUCUUCAGACACACCAGAAGAGGGCAUCGGAUCCCAUUACAGAUGGUUGUGAGCCACCAUGUGGUUGCUGGGAGUUGAACUCAGGACCUCUGGAAGAGCAGCCAGUGCUCUUAACCACUGAGGCAUCUCUCCAGCCCAAUGCAGAGAUUUCUAACUGGAUAAAAAGCUACAUUGAAUACUCAGUUCCCCCUGAACCUUAAGGCUCAGGAAACAAUGAGGAAGAAGAGGCAGAAGGAAUAUAAGAGCCAGAAUAUGGGGAAGAGUGCCGUGACGUGCUCUCUUCUGGAUACGAGGCCACGACACUUACCAACUGCAGCUAUGGGGCUGUGAUUACCCACAGAAGAGCAAGUCGACAUGAUCAGUCAACAUUCCAACAGGCAGCGGCAGGAUUUAGUGAGUUGUUAACAGAGAGACAGCAAAAGACAUAUAGAGGGAGAGAUAGAGAAGAGAGAGCAGAGACUCACAAAGACAGAGACAGAGAGGGACAGAGGCCAGACAUGAAGCAGGAGGGCGUGUGCUGAGGGUGCCUGGGGGAAGUAGGAGAGAGGGUGUGGGGGAUCAAGAUACAUUGCUCCCAUGCAUGAACUUGUCACAUGUAUGAAUAAAUAAAAGAUAGCCUACUGAAAACAACACUAUCCACACCUGCUAUAACUCUUGGUUUAUGAGACAGAGAGCAGGCCCUGAGCAGUAAGGUCUUGAGCCACACUUCCUGCACAACCCCCAUGGAGGACAAUAGCCACACAGCACAAAGCUUGGAUUACCUGGAAUGUCCUUGUCCUACUGUAAUGCAACCCUUCCCUUUCACGGUCAGCCAAGUUUAUUCAAACAUAGAUUCGGGAAAAGGACGUAAGAGGGUCUGCUCUAAUGCACCCUGUUGCUUUCAACACAGAACCUCAGAAACCAUGACACAGUAGAGGGCACACCCUUGUCGAAAACCUUACAGAGCCACGGAAUCAGAAGCAAAAGGCGUAAGAUGGCAUCUUUGUCUUCCCCUUGCUUCCCGAUUUCAGAGAGCAAGCCUUUCCUUCACCUUCUACACACUUACCUCCUGUAAUGACUCAAGCUUAACAUUUCCUGGUCAAGAUGCAAGAUUCGUGGUCAGCUAUCUAAGCAGAGGCACUGAGUGGUGGAUGGCGGGCGUAUACGUGGCCCACAUGAGUCCAGAAGGUGUUUUAUGUUAUAAUCAAACUUCUACAGAGGAGUGUGAUCUCCAGGUAAGGCGCAGGCACCGUUGGGUUGACUUUUGACAGGGUUCCAAUUCCAGUAAGGAGAAAACAGCCCCUGGAAUAUCCAACCCAGUAUUCUGCCCCUGACAGUUGCUCUGAGGGGUGCUGCUCAAACAGGAUGACUGACCCCAUGUUACUGUGGGACCUGUCUUCCAGGAGUUGUGUGAUGGCUGGCUGCAUUUACAAUCACUUCAGGCCCAAGGGCCCAUGUCCCUCUCUUAAACUACAUCGAUGAGAAAGAAAGAAUAGGAGAGUGAUUGGCUGAGUGUACACCUGUGUAGUUUAGCUUCAGGUCAGAGGGUGUGGCAUCUCGAGGAAGUUUCCUCUCCCCUCUGGACAACAGAACUCCAGCUCUGGCUGAGUGCUGAGGUAGGCGAUCACAGCCCUAGGGAGACUGCAGUGGUUUCUGUCUCUCCUCUUCAUCGGUAGCCACCUAGGUCAAAGGCCUAAGGGUGCUUCUUGGCAUAACAGAUUAAGGCACGGAACACCCCAGAGCCUGUAUUUUGCCUGAUUUUUCUUGAAGCAAAUAAAGCGACUUUAUGUAAGCCAGAAAAUAAAGUUGCCCAUGAUCCCUAGUGCGAAUUGCUUGUUAAAUCCACCAAUUCUAUAUAAAGCAGUAAGUGGCUUCAAGUUGGAGAGAAGUUAUAGGGCCAGUGGUGGCGUUAGGCAUUCUGUUCCUGUACCUGACUUCAGGAAGCAGGUCCAUUCAUGACAGUGACUCCUCCUGACUGUCAGAGUUACAAACCAGAUAGUACUUCUCAAAAUAGUUCUGCCCUAGUAAUUCUGAAGGAUUAAUUGAAGUCAGUGCACGUAGUGGCUAUUCCUGGUUGUCAACUUGACUAUAUCUGGAAUGAACUACAGUCCAGAAUUGUAGGGCUCACCUGUGAUCUUGAUCCUGAGGCUGGGAGAUACAACUUUCUGACCUGGAUCUUGGCAUGGAGAUCUUGAGACACAGUGGCUAUGGAUCCCAGGAGACUAAGGCAAAGAGAUCUCUGAGUCAUCUGGGACAAAGCAAGUCCCAGAUCCAGGCAUGGUGGUACACACCUUUAAUAUGGGACACACCUUCUACUGGAGACCUACAUAAGGACUUGGAAGAAGGAAGAGUCUCUCUUUUUAGCCUGCCUGCCUUGUGGGACUGAGAAAAUGCUAGAUCCUUGGACUUCCAUUCACAGCUGCUGCUGACCAUUGUUGGGAAGUUGGACUACAGACUAAGUCAUCAACAAAUCCCCUUACUAUACAGAGACUACCCAUAAGUUCUGUGACUCCAGAGAACCCUGACGAAUACAGUGCAGAAAACCAUUACCAUUUUACACUGAAGAGAGGUGCCCAAAAGACAAAUGGAAGUGCCACGAGCUUUGGUCCAGAAAAUCAGCAAACACUGAAUUGGGGGCGGGGCGUGUUGCAUAAUGAAAUCUAUUAUAAAUGUAAGACUCGGGACAACUUUCCAUGGACUGAGAGAUUACUCUGCAUAGACUUUCUAAAGUCAUUAAAAUUUCCAGCAAAGCAAGUCCAGCAGUAACAGGCAGACAGUUCUCUCGUCUAAAUUCAGAUUUGUCCACUCAGCAAUUAUUACUGCCUUCCCACAGUGAGAAAAAUGUUCCAGAGAGGAUGAAGAUGGCCUUGGACCAGAAAGGCAGUGUCUGCUCUGUGAGAACGGGGCUGUUACUUCAAGAGGGGACUAUUAUCUCCAGAUGAAGAAAGCUGUCUGGCUGAAAGACAGACUAUGCUGGAGCCCCAUGCCUGGUCAAAGCAGGAAGUGUCUGUCUGGUAUCUGACUGGUACAUCUACAAUGCAUCCCACCCAAGGCUGAGGGCACAUCGGAGAAGAGCAGGAGGAAGGAUUCAAGGGCCAGAAGAUGAGGACGGCUUCUGUGAAACAGCGUCUUCAAGAUGUUAGAGGGAUUCCCCAACCAUGCACAGCAUGAUUGCCCAAACAAGGCCUGCAUAACGACAACACCAGUUAACCUGCCAAUGCUGACUAGCCCCACCCCUCCAGAUGAUUGGUGGCUGCUGAGAGAGGGAGAAUGACUUUUCUUCAGGAACCAGACCUCUCUCUGAUAGUCAUACAAUUUCAAAUUGUCACCCCUAGACAUAUGUACCUAAGAGCAACAAUAAAUGAGGUUGUGUGUGUGUGUGUGUGUGUGUGUGUGUGUGUGUAAUACACAUAAGUAAUAAUUAUAGAAGAAGACGUAAUGAACUUGAGAGGGAGUCAGGCAAGGCACAUGAGGAGUUGAAGGUAGGAGGGAGGGGAGGAAAUAAUUUAAAUAGACAUGUAAAACUUAUGAGAACGUAGAUGCUACAGUAGAAGUGUGGCCUGAAAGGACCAACUGGACUCGAGCAAAAAUUAAAAGCCCUCUUCAUAAGGCGAAGAGAAGAGGUGCUUAGGAGCCCUCUCAGUUACUAAAGUGCUUGCUGCACAAGUCUGGGGACCUGAGUCCCCACUUCCAGAACCCACACAACAAAAGCAGGUGUGCAGUCACCUGUAAUACUGUGCUGAGAAGGCUGAGACAGGAAGGGCUGGCUUUGAGGCUCCCUGCCUAGCCUGCCGAGACAAACAGCUGAG